CCUAAGCCAGGCCACUUACAUGGCUGACGAUUUUAUUAUGCAGCAGAAAGGACUAUCUUCUGCACACACUUGGCGUAACUGUGACAGAGGCAGAAGACAUGAAAGAAUAUUGAAGGGCAUAACUGUUAAACAAGACCCUAUAAUCAGUCCCAUAAAAAAGGCAAAUGCAGCUGCAACUCCCCCAGAAAUUCCCAAAAGGAGGAGAUGGGAGCAAAAUUAAACUGCUCAGUGACUGUACAUCCCUGGCACCAUGGUAAGAAGAAAGAAGAACUGUGUUUAGAGGCAAUCGGCAUAUUAUAUUGGAGAGUGAAAACUCGAGAAUACUGACCGGACCAGUGAUCGCCGGGUUUUGAAGUCUUGGGUCUUCCCACUGAGUAAU